rnacentral:rRNA from 1 species
AUAAGAGGUCCAGCCUGCCCAGUGAAAUUAUUCAACGGCCGCGGUAUCCUAACCGUGCGAAGGUAGCGUAAUCACUUGUUCUUUAAAUGAGGACUAGUAUGAAUGGCAUCACGAGGGUUUUACUGUCUCCUUUUUUAAAUCAGUGAAACUAAUCUCCCCGUGAAGAAGCGGGGAUUUUGUUAUAAGACGAGAAGACCCUAUGGAGCUUAAAACAAACAACAUUUGCUGCACAUAAUACUUUUAUCUUCAAGAAGUAUAGCAUUAUGAUAUUUAGUUUUUGAUUGGGGUGAUCACGGAGCAAAAUAAAACCUCCACGCCGAAAGGGUUUAUACCCUGAGCAAAAAGCUACAGCUUUAAGCACUAAAAAAUUAACGUAUUUGACCCAAUAUUUUGAUCAACGAACCAAGUUACCCUAGGGAUAACAGCGCAAUCCACUUCAAGAGCUCUUAUCGACAAGUGGGUUUACGACCUCGAUGUUGGAUCAGGGUGUCCUAGUGGUGCAGCCGCUACUAAUGGUUCGUUUGUUCAACGAUUAAAACCCUACGUGA